CCAGGUUCUCCUUCCCCAGUCACCAGUUGCUCGAGUUAGAAUUGUCUGCAAUGGCCGCCCUGCAGAAAUCUGUGAGCUCUUUCCUUAUGGGGACCCUGGCCACCAGCUGCCUCCUUCUCUUGGCCCUCUUGGUACAGGGAGGAGCAGCUGCGCCCAUCAGCUCCCACUGCAGGCUUGACAAGUCCAACUUCCAGCAGCCCUAUAUCACCAACCGCACCUUCAUGCUGGCUAAGGAGCUAGCUUGGCUGAUAACAACACAGACGUUCGUCUCAUUGGGGAGAAACUGUUCCACGGAGUCAGAUGAGUGAGCGCUGCUAUCUGAUGAAGCAGGUGCUGAACUUCACCCUUGAAGAAGUGCUGUUCCCUCAAUCUGAUAGGUUCCAGCCUUAUAUGCAGGAGGUGGUGCCCUUCCUGGCCAGGCUCAGCAACAGGCUAAGCACAUGCAUAUUGAAGGUGAUGACCUGCAUAUCCAGAGGAAUGUGCAAAAGCUGAAGGACACAGUGAAAAACUUGGAGAGAGUGGAGAGAUCAAAGCAAUUGGAGAACUGGAUUUGCUGUUUAUGUCUCUGAGAAAUGCCUGCAUUUGACCAGAGCAA
rnacentral:lncRNA from 1 species